AAGGCAAUGAGUCAGUCACCAUGAUUCUCCUCUCCGAGACAGACACAGGUUAGGAUCUUUCCCGCUCUCUACCUCCCACCUGCAACAUGGCAUAACCAGCUGCUGCACGUUCCUACUAUCACACGGCUCUUGUGGCUGAGCCAUCCCUGUCAUGACAGAGACCUCAACCCAUGAGCUCAAAGACAGCCUCCCUGCCUUAAGAUGCUGUGCCUCUCCACGGGAACCCCCAGAGUGUGGCAGAUGGUUUCCUGAGAAUGAGCAAGUGAAUACAGAAGAGGAAGAGUCUGAGAGAGGAGAAUGGAGCGUGAGUCCCAGUUCCCUAAGUGACAUCCCACUCCGGUAGAGAAGUCUCUCAGUUAGAAUCAAGUCUCGAGGUCCAACCCACAGCCAGAUCAGGCUCACAAAGCACCAUGGACACCAGUGGGCUGGUGGAAUGAGACUGGCCUUCAUGCUGACGCAAACCAAGAAGCCAUGAAAGACACAGUUAAUGUCACUCGUCCUAUUUAGCAAUAUUUUAGGAGCUGAAGAGAUGGCUCACUUUGUAAAGCACCCAUUGAGCAAACAGGAUGAUCUGAAUUCAGAUUCCCCAGCAUCUACAUAAAUGUUGGACGUGGUGGUACACAUCUGUAACUCCAGGUUUUGGGUUGGGGGUCGGAUCAGCAGACCCCAUGAUGAUAAUGGACUAAACCUCUGAAAAUGUAAGCCACCCCAUUAAAGGUUUUCCUUAAUAAAAGUUGCCAGUGUCACGGUUUCUCUUCACAGCAAUAGAGACCCCAACUAAGACACACCCAUAUACAUAAAAUAAAAAUAAAAUCAAACAAGAAGGCGUGAUCUCCAGCAUCCACACAAAUGGCGGGUGGUUGUGGUGGCUUACCUGUAAUCCCAGAGUCCACGGUGUGGAAACAGGAACCCUCCAAAGCAAUCAGGGUGACUAAAUGAGGCAAAGCGGUAAGCUCUGGGUUCAAAAAAAAAAAAAAAUCUGCCUCCAUGAAUGAGGUGGAAACCAAUCAAGAAAGACUUCUCAAUGAGGUGGAAACCAAUCAAGAAAGACUUCUCAUGUCAGUGUCAGCCUCAGGCUUCCCUAUGAACACAUGUACACAUAUAUCCUACAUACAUACACAUGUGCCUACAUAUAUACAGACCACACAGCACACCACACAUACAGACACAGGCAAAAAUAUUUUUAAAGCGUAUAAUCUUUGCCCCAAAACUCCAGGUUGUUACCCUAUGAAGCUCGCCAAAGCACACAAAGGUUGCACACAUGUGUAUCAUUUUGUUACGGUCCAGGCUACUAUGUCUUAACCAGGUUGUACUUUGCACAGCUAUCCUGGCAACGUCUCGAGAAACUGAUGUGUUGUGGGUGAAGGGCGGGGGGAAGAAGGGAAUCAUUGAACCACAGUACAAGCUCCAAGCACCAAGCGAAGCAUUCUGGUGUGGGACGCUGUCAGAAGGAACUAUCGGUACAGAGCCCAUGCAAGACGUGAUGACAAACUCAAAUGGGUGCUCUGAGCACAGUUUGAUUAACUGGUGGUGUACAAUGGCAGAGAAUGGUAGAAAGAAGCUAGAGGCGUUUACCGUACAGAGAUCUAGGGAUAGACAGGCAAGGGAGGAAGCAUAGGCACCAGGUAGGAGCAAGAUGCAGAGAUGAAAAGCUUACAGGAGGGAGCAACCUCUUAAUGUGCAAAUGUGAAGUCAGCCUGGGGAGCAGAUGUGCCGAUUUCCUGGGCUUCGCCUUCCCAUUGCCUACAUCUGCUCCCAGUGGGCGAGCUGGAGAAGGGGCAGAAUGGAAGAAGAGCGGCUCAGGAAACCAUCCAGAGCCAGAACAGUAAGUGGCAGUUCCUAUUCAUGCAUCAAAGUGUUGACGGACCUCAGCGACUGUGUUUGGUCAUCGUAGGAAACAGAGGUUUUCCGGACCUAUCAAACCUGAUCCAUCACAACACUUGCUCUGCCAGCUGGUGGUGGUGCACGACUUUAAUCUGCACAGUUGGGAGGCAGAGACAGGUGGAUCGCUGAGAUCAAAGCCUGCCUGCCUGGUCUACAGAGCUAGUUCCAGGACAGCCAAGACUACACAGAGAAACCCUGUCUUCAAACCCCUGCUCUCCCCACCCCCCAAAAAGAACACCUGUUCUAUUCAUCUCUGAAGCUGAGCAGUUUUGGCAAGCAACAGCUUCACUUGGCCUCAGCUGCAAGUACCAAAUGGCCGUGCCUAUGACCCCACCGAACAGCACUGUGCGACUGCUUAUGUAAAUGCACAUUCCCUAGACAACAAAGAAGACCCUAAGAGAGACAUACAUGGAUCUAAUGAUAAGGGACACCAGACAUUCCCAUGCCACGGACACCAGUCAGAAGAAGAGACCAGCUAUGCCAGGAUGUGACCAGCACCCAGCCUUCUCUCGGGUCCCCCCCCCAAAAGAUGACACCCACAAUCAGCCAGAAGCAGUCUUGAGAAUUCGCCGCCCCAAUUUCUUCAA